rnacentral:rRNA from 1 species
UCUCAAGCGUGAGGUAAGGGCAUUUCGUGGAUGCCUUGGCAUGCACAGGCGAUGAAGGACGUGGCACGCUGCGAUAAGCGCUGGUGAGGUGUGAGCAACCUUUGACCCAGCGAUUUCCGAAUGGGGAAACCCACCCUUACCAUUUAAUCUCGAGGCUGAUUUCGGUCAGCGGCGGGGUUAAGUGGAACGAGGGUAUUACCGAGGUGAAUACAUAGCUUUGGUAAAG